rnacentral:rRNA from 1 species
UACGAAGGGGGCUAGCGUUGCUCGGAAUCACUGGGCGUAAAGCGCACGUAGGCGGAUUGUUAAGUCAGGGGUGAAAUCCUGGAGCUCAACUCCAGAACUGCCUUUGAUACUGGCGAUCUCGAGUCCGGAAGAGGAGAGUGGAAUUCCUGGUGUAGCGGUGAAAUGCGCAGAUAUCAGGAGGAACACCGGUGGCGAAGGCGGUUCUCUGGGCCUGACCUGACGCUGGGGAGCGAAAGCGUGGGGAGCGAACAGG